GACAAAUAGGUGGAGGUGACUGUGGUCUACACCAAAGCUGCCUCCUGGUGGCCACCCAGACCUCUGCCUGCUGGACUCCUCUGAGAAAGGAAGUUCCAGAACUGGUGGGGUACAGAAAUUGUGCUUGCAAGGUCCAGGGGCCCCAUGGUCUGGCAGCUGAGACGCUCCUCGGGCUGGCCCAGGUGCUGACCUUGCCACAGGCAGGUGAAUGUCCUUAAAGCUCCAGGCAGGGACAAGAAGCUUUUCCUCAACCUCCCAUCACCCCUUCCCAGGAAACCUCUUGAUUUUAUGACUGUUCAGAUACUGCUCUGGAUU